GUGUGCUGAUGUGAGCCGUACUGAGAUGAUGGGGCUGGGUGGUCAUACUGUGUGCUGAUGUGAGCCGUACUGAGAUGAUGGGGCUGGGUGGUCAUACUGUGUGCUGAUGUGAGCCGUACUGAGAUGAUGGGGCUGGGUGGUCAUACUGUGUGCUGAUGUGAGCCGUACUGAGAUGAUGGGGCUGGGUGGUCAUACUGUGUGCUGAUGUGAGCCGUACUGAGAUGAUGGGGCUGGGUGGUCAUACUGUGUGCUGAUGUGAGCCGUACUAAGAUGAUAGGCCCGAAGGACAAUCUGCCCAGGGAGGGGCUGGUAAGAAACAGAACCUGCUCCUGUCCCUGAGGCUUGCUGGUGGCUCCUGACUCGUGUCCCUUUCAGAGCAGGUACACAGUCACUUCAGGAGGUACGAGGUGGAGUACCUGCAGUUUGCCUUUCGGUGGAUGAACAACCUCCUGAUGCGGGAGCUCCCUCUGCGCUGCACCAUCCGUCUGUGGGACACGUACCAGUCUGAGCCAGAAGGGUUCUCACACUUCCAUCUCUACGUGUGUGCGGCCUUCUUGAUCAAGUGGAGGAAGGAGAUUUUGGAUGAGGAAGACUUUCAGGUUACACAAAAUCAUGGACUCUUAUGGAAAGAGUAAGAGGGGGCGUGGAAGAGGGCCAGUGAGAUGGCUCAGUGGGUGAAGGUGCUUGCUGCCAAGACUGACUGAGUUCACACUCUGGAAUCUACACAGGAGAAGGGAAGAACCUACUCCGGAGGUUGUCCCCUGACCUCCACACUCUACACAAAGCUGACAUACGCACAGUAUAAACAAAUCUAAAGGAAGUUUUUGAGACAGGGUCUCUUUAUGUAGCCUUGGCUGUCCUGGAACUCACAGAGCUCUGCCUGCAGAGAUUAAAGGCAUGCACCACCA